UCCACCCACCUCAGCCUCCCAAGUGCUAAGAUUACAGGUGUGAGCCACCGUGCCCAGCCUCCUCGCUUACACUUUUACAGAAGAUCUGAUCAUACCCACUCCGCAGAAGUCAGAAUGGCCCCCACGUGGUGUUGAACGGGAGUGAAAAUUUGAGUUCCAUCAACUGACGGUGACACAGAAACAUUUCCCCCAAGAUGCUUUUGGCAGCUCUGCUGAUCCAUAACCUGGCUCCAUUUCAGGGCAAGAACUCCACUUAAGCUGCACUGGCUUCCACUAGAGUAAAUCACAUUAACUCAUGGAAAACACAACUGAAGGGCAAAAAGAUUCUUUUUAAAAUGAUUUUUGUCUCUCACUUACCAACACACGCUGGCCUCCCUAUUGCCUGACUCCAUUCAACACCUGUUCCACUGAGCACCCACUGAAAGCUCAGCUCAUGAGCUGAGAUGACCCAGACAUCAAGGAGUUUACAAUCCAGGGGAAGAACAGACCUGAAUACAAGUGAUGACAAUACAAGAUGGAGUCAAAGAGCCCAACUUGAAGUUUCAGCAGAAUAGCACCAAAGACUAGUUCCCAACCCAGCUCCCAGAGCCAGAGCCAGAGCCAGAGCCAGGCUGGCUGCAUGAGAUCAGCUGGGAGCUUUUGCAAACUCCUGGGAGAGAAGCAGACGUGGUUUCCAAUCCCACUUUCCAGAAGAGGAGACUGAGGCAGAGGCUUUGCAGAUACACAGAGGACAUGUGAGGACAGGUGAAGGUCAUGAUCAUUGUCAGCCCCCUCCCCCAACUUGACAUUCCCAGAUCUGGUGGACUUCCAGCCAGAGGAGAAAGAAGGAUUGGAUCACUCAACUCUGCCAUGGGUGCCAGGACCAAAUUUUUCCCUGGCUAACUCGGUCACAUCCUGUCUGGGAUCUCCAACUACUACCCAUCCCACAAGUCUCAGCUAAAACAGCAAUUCAACGAGGAACUUUUUUCUGAGGCUCCAGGAUUGGGCCAGGCCCUCUCCAUUGCUCUCUGCCCUUCCCCUACUGCAGAACUUAGCACCUGUAUGUCACUAUUGGUUCAAACAUGUGUCUUUCGUAUGCUCUCCACGUUAUCUGCAGCAUCUGCCAAGAAUAAUAAUGGAUGGUAAAACCUAA